rnacentral:rRNA from 1 species
UGGGUCAGCGACUUAUAUUCUGUAGCAAGGUUAACCGUAUAGGGGAGCCGUAGGGAAACCGAGUCUUAACCGGGCGUUAAGUUGCAGGGUAUAGACCCGAAACCCGGUGAUCUAGCCAUGGGCAGGUUGAAGGUUGGGUAACACUAACUGGAGGACCGAACCGACUAAUGUUGAAAAAUUAGCGGAUGACCUGUGGCUGGGGGUGAAAGGCCAAUCAAACCGGGAGAUAGCUGGUUCUCCCCGAAAGCUAUUUAGGUAGCGCCUCGUGAAUUCAUCUCCGGGGGUAGAGCACUGUUUCGGCUAGGGGGCCAUCCCGGCUUACCAACCCGAUGCAAACUGCGAAUACCGGAGAAUGUUAUCACGGGAGACACACGGCGGGUGCUAACGUCCGUCGUGAAGAGGGAAACAACCCAGACCGCCAGCUAAGGUCCCAAAGUCAUGGUUAAGUGGGAAACGAUGUGGGAAGGCCCAGACAGCCAGGAUGUUGGCUUAGAAGCAGCCAUCAUUUAAAGAAAGCGUAAUAGCUCACUGGUCGAGUCGGCCUGCGCGGAAGAUGUAACGGGGCUAAACCAUGCACCGAAGCUGCGGCAGCGAACGUAUCACCCAAGACAACUUUACGGAGUUGACGAUUGACGGAGCGAAGCGACGUCAAAGCGUUCAUUAAAGUCGAGUUGGCUUAGGGAUACGUUCGUUGGGUAGGGGAGCGUUCUGUAAGCCUGUGAAGGUGUGUCGUGAGGCAUGCUGGAGGUAUCAGAAGUGCGAAUGCUGACAUAAGUAACGAUAAAGCGGGUGAAAAGCCCGCUCGCCGGAAGACCAAGGGUUCCUGUCCAACGUUAAUCGGGGCAGGGUGAGUCGACCCCUAAGGCGAGGCCGAAAGGCGUAGUCGAUGGGAAACGGGUUAAUAUUCCCGUACUUGGUGUUACUGCGAAGGGGGGACGGAGAAGGCUAUGUUGGCCGGGCGACGGUUGUCCCGGUUUAAGCGUGUAGGUGUGUGUUCCAGGUAAAUCCGGUUCACUUUAACACUGAGGCGUGACGACGAGGCACUACGGUGCUGAAGCAACAAAUGCCCUGCUUCCAGGAAAAGCCUCUAAGCAUCAGGUAACACGAAAUCGUACCCCAAACCGACACAGGUGGUCAGGUAGAGAAUACCAAGGCGCUUGAGAGAACUCGGGUGAAGGAACUAGGCAAAAUGGUGCCGUAACUUCGGGAGAAGGCACGCUGACACGUAGGUGAAGUGAUUUACUCAUGGAGCUGAAGUCAGUCGAAGAUACCAGCUGGCUGCAACUGUUUAUUAAAAACACAGCACUGUGCAAACACGAAAGUGGACGUAUACGGUGUGACGCCUGCCCGGUGCCGGAA